UUUCGCACUCUUACUUUAGUUUAAGUGAAUGGAUCUCCAUGAAAUUUUACCAUAAGGUUCAAUACCACGAAAGGAGGUUGGGAUUGAUUUUGGGGGUUAUGGUACCAACAGUUAAGGAAUUAGGGGCCAAAAAGGGGCCAAAAAUAAGCAUUUUUGUAACUUCCAGACAAUAACUUGUGUGUAAGUGUAUGGAUCUCUCUGACAUUGUACCACAAGGUUCCAUAUCACAAAGGGAAGGCUGUAAUUGAUUUUGGGGGUAAUUGCCUCAAAAUUUUAGGAAUUAGGGGCCAAAAAAGGGGCAAAAAACAAGCAUUUUUCUAGUUUCAUGACAAUAACUUGUGUGUAAGUGUUUGGAUAUUUCUGAAAUUGUACUACAAGGUUCCAUAUCACAAAGGGCAAGCUGGGUUUGAGUUUGUGGGUAAUUGCCCGAAACGUUUAGGAAUAGGGGGCCAAAAAGGGGCCAAAAAUAAGCAUUUUUCUAGUUUCCAGACAAUAACUUGUGUUCAAGUGUAUGGAUCUCUCUGAAAUUGUACUGCAAGGUACCAUACCACAAAGGGAAGGCUGGGAUUGAGUUUGGGGGUGAUGAAUCAUAAGGGGGUUCAAAAAAUUUGGGGGGGGGAUUUUUUUCUUUUCUUUUUUUUUCUUUUUUUCCUUUUUUUUUUCUUUUAAAAUUUUCCAUUUUAAGUUGGUUAUUUCUGAUUAAUAUUUAAAAGCAAAUAAUAAUGAUAUGGUAGGAGAUACACACCAAACAGGAUGUGUAAAUUAUUAUAUAAUAAGUAUUGUGCAAUAGCAAGAAAUUUUCAAUUGCACAGUAUUGCACAAUUGCAAGAAAUCUUCAAUUGCACAGUAUUGCGCAAUAGCAAGAAAUCUUCAAUUGCACAGUAUUGCGCAAUAGCAAGAAAUAUCCAAUAGCACAAUAUUGCGCAAUAGCAAGAAAUUGUCAAUUGUACAGUAUUGCACAAUAGCAAGAAAUAUUCAAUUGCACAGUAUUGUGCAAAAGAAGAUACUUCGUAUAAAUUGUUUAUUUCUUGAUCAAUUUCAAUGGGGUUUUAUUCUUGAAUUCUUGGGGUUCUUUAAUAUGCUGAAUCUAACCAAGUAUUAAGUUUUUGGAUUUUGGGCCCCGUUUUUAAAUUGGUCCACAUUGAGGUCCAAAGGGUCCAAAAUUUAACUUUGUUUGAUUUCAUCAAAAAUUGAAUUAUUGGGGUUCUUUGAUAUGCCGAAUCUAACCGUGUAUUUAGAUUCUUAAUUUUUGGUUCCGUUUUCAAAUUGGUCUACAUUAAGGUCAAAAGGGUCCAAAAUUAAACUUUGUUUGAUUUUAACAAAAAUUGAAUUUUUAGGGUUCUUUGAUAUGCUGAAUCUAAACAUGUAUUUAGAUUUUUGAUUAUGGGCCCCGUUUUCAAGUUGGUCCAAAUCGGGGUCCAAAAUUAAACUUUGUUUGAUUUCAACAAAAAUUGAAUAUAUCGGGUUCUUUGAUAUGCUGAAUCUAACCAUGUAUUUAGAUUUUUGAUUUUUGGGCCCCGUUAUCAACUUUGUCCACAUUGAGGUCAAAAGGGUCCAAAAUUAAACUUUGUUUGAUUUCAUCAAAAAUUGAAUUCUUGGGGUUCUUUGAUAUGCUGAAUCUUACCAUGUAUUUAGAUUUUUUAUUUGUGGACCCGCUAUCAAAUUAGUUCAUAUUGAGGUGAAAAGGGUCCAAAAUUAAACUUUGUUUGAUUUCAUCAAAAAUUGAAUUAUUGGGGUUCUUUGAUAUGCCAAAUCUAACCGUGUAUUUAGAUUUUUAAUUUUGGGUCCCGUUUUUAAAUUGGUCUACAUUAAGGUCCAAAGGGUCCAAAAUUAAACUUAGUUUGAUUUUAACAAAAAUUGAAUUCUUGGGGUUCUUUGAUAUGCUGAAUCUAAACAUGUAUUUAGAUUUUUGAUUAUGGGCCCAGUUUUCAAGUUGGUCCAAGUUGGGGUCCAAAAUUAAACUUUGUUUGAUUUCAACAAAAAUUGAAUAUAUGGGGUUCUUUGAUAUGCUGAAUCUAAACAUGUAUUUAGAUUUUAGAUUUGUGGCCCAGUUUUCAAGUUGGUCCAAAUUGGGGUCCAAAAUUAAACUUUGUUUGAUUUCAACAAAAAUUGAAUAUAUGGGGUUCUUUGAUAUGCUGAAUCUUACCAUGUAUUUAGAUUUUUUUAUUUGUGGACCCGCUAUCAAAUUGGUUCAUAUUGAGGUCAAAAGGGUCCAAAAUUAAACUUUGUUUGAUUUCAUCAAAAAUUGAAUUAUUGGGGUUCUUUGAUAUGCCAAAUCUAACCGUGUAUUUAGAUUUUUAAUUUUGGGUCCCGUUUUUAAAUUGGUCUACAUUAAGGUCCAAAGGGUCCAAAAUUAAACUUAGUUUGAUUUUAACAAAAAUUGAAUUCUUGGGGUACUUUGAUAUGCUGAAUCUAAACAUGUGUUUAGAUUUUGAUUAUGGGACCAGUUUUCAAGUUGGUCCAAGUUGGGGUCCAAAAUUAAACUUUGUUUGAUUUCAACAAAAAUUGAAUAUAUGGGGUUCUUUGAUAUGCUGAAUCUAAACAUGUAUUUAGAUUUUAGAUUUUUGGCCCAGUUUUCAAGUUGUUCCAAAUUGGGGUCCAAAAUUAAACUUUGUUUGAUUUCAACAAAAAUUGAAUAUAUGGGGUUCUUUGAUAUGCUGAAUCUUACCAUGUAUUUAGAUUUUUUUAUUUGUGGGCCCGCUAUCAAAUUGGUUCAUAUUGAGGUGAAAAGGGUCCAAAAUUAAACUUUGUUUGAUUUCAUCAAAAAUUGAAUUAUUGGGGUUCUUUGAUAUGCCAAAUCUAACCGUGUAUUUAGAUUUUUAAUUUUGGGUCCCGUUUUUAAAUUGGUCUACAUUAAGGUCCAAAGGGUCCAAAAUUAAACUUAGUUUGAUUUUAACAAAAAUUGAAUUCUUGGGGUUCUUUGAUAUGCUGAAUCUAAACAUGUGUUUAGAUUUUUGAUUAUGGGCCCAGUUUUCAAGUUGGUCCAAGUUGGGGUCCAAAAUUAAACUUUGUUUGAUUUCAACAAAAAUUGAAUAUAUGGGGUUCUUUGAUAUGCUGAAUCUAAACAUGUAUUUAGAUUUUAGAUUUGUGGCCCAGUUUUCAAGUUGGUCCAAAUUGGGGUCCAAAAUUAAACUUUGUUUGAUUUCAACAAAAAUUGAAUAUAUGGGGUUCUUUGAUAUGCUGAAUCUUACCAUGUAUUUAGAUUUUUUUAUUUGUGGACCCGCUAUCAAAUUGGUUCAUAUUGAGGUCAAAAGGGUCCAAAAUUAAACUUUGUUUGAUUUCAUCAAAAAUUGAAUUAUUGGGGUUCUUUGAUAUGCCAAAUCUAACCGUGUAUUUAGAUUUUUAAUUUUGGGUCCCGUUUUUAAAUUGGUCUACAUUAAGGUCCAAAGGGUCCAAAAUUAAACUUAGUUUGAUUUUAACAAAAAUUGAAUUCUUGGGGUACUUUGAUAUGCUGAAUCUAAACAUGUGUUUAGAUUUUGAUUAUGGGACCAGUUUUCAAGUUGGUCCAAGUUGGGGUCCAAAAUUAAACUUUGUUUGAUUUCAACAAAAAUUGAAUAUAUGGGGUUCUUUGAUAUGCUGAAUCUAAACAUGUAUUUAGAUUUUAGAUUUUUGGCCCAGUUUUCAAGUUGGUCCAAAUUGGGGUCCAAAAUUAAACUUUGUUUGAUUUCAACAAAAAUUGAAUAUAUGGGGUUCUUUGAUAUGCUGAAUCUUACCAUGUAUUUAGAUUUUUUUAUUUGUGGGCCCGCUAUCAAAUUGGUUCAUAUUGAGGUGAAAAGGGUCCAAAAUUAAACUUUGUUUGAUUUCAUCAAAAAUUGAAUUAUUGGGGUUCUUUGAUAUGCCAAAUCUAACCGUGUAUUUAGAUUUUUAAUUUUGGGUCCCGUUUUUAAAUUGGUCUACAUUAAGGUCCAAAGGGUCCAAAAUUAAACUUAGUUUGAUUUUAACAAAAAUUGAAUUCUUGGGGUUCUUUGAUAUGCUGAAUCUAAACAUGUGUUUAGAUUUUUGAUUAUGGGCCCAGUUUUCAAGUUGGUCCAAGUUGGGGUCCAAAAUUAAACUUUGUUUGAUUUCAACAAAAAUUGAAUAUAUGGGGUUCUUUGAUAUGCUGAAUCUAAACAUGUAUUUAGAUUUUAGAUUUGUGGCCCAGUUUUCAAGUUGGUCCAAAUUGGGGUCCAAAAUUAAACUUUGUUUGAUUUCAACAAAAAUUGAAUAUAUGGGGUUCUUUGAUAUGCUGAAUCUUACCAUGUAUUUAGAUUUUUUUAUUUGUGGACCCGCUAUCAAAUUGGUUCAUAUUGAGGUCAAAAGGGUCCAAAAUUAAACUUUGUUUGAUUUCAUCAAAAAUUGAAUUAUUGGGGUUCUUUGAUAUGCCAAAUCUAACCGUGUAUUUAGAUUUUUAAUUUUGGGUCCCGUUUUUAAAUUGGUCUACAUUAAGGUCCAAAGGGUCCAAAAUUAAACUUAGUUUGAUUUUAACAAAAAUUGAAUUCUUGGGGUACUUUGAUAUGCUGAAUCUAAACAUGUGUUUAGAUUUUGAUUAUGGGACCAGUUUUCAAGUUGGUCCAAGUUGGGGUCCAAAAUUAAACUUUGUUUGAUUUCAACAAAAAUUGAAUAUAUGGGGUUCUUUGAUAUGCUGAAUCUAAACAUGUAUUUAGAUUUUAGAUUUUUGGCCCAGUUUUCAAGUUGGUCCAAAUUGGGGUCCAAAAUUAAACUUUGUUUGAUUUCAACAAAAAUUGAAUAUAUGGGGUUCUUUGAUAUGCUGAAUCUUACCAUGUAUUUAGAUUUUUUUAUUUGUGGGCCCGCUAUCAAAUUGGUUCAUAUUGAGGUCAAAAGGGUCCAAAAUUAAACUUUGUUCG